GCACCCCUAGCUCAAUUGGAUAGAGCAUCGGUCUACGGAACCGAAGGUUGGAGGUUCGAGCCCUCCGGGGUGUA
rnacentral:tRNA from 2 species